GCGGGCGUAGCUCAGCGGUAGAGUACUAGUUUUCCAAACUAGUUGUCACGGGUUCGAAUCCCGUCGCCCGCUCCA
rnacentral:tRNA from 1 species